GGUGGCUCAAUGGUAGAGCACUUGCCUUACAUGCAUGAGGCCCUGGGUUUAAUUUAAGCUCAGCACCA
rnacentral:tRNA from 1 species